rnacentral:rRNA from 1 species
AAGAAAAUUUUUAUAUAAAAUAAAAACUAAGCUAACCUAAAAAAAUACUAAAAAUAAACAUAAUAAAAAUAUCUUUGGUUGGGGCAACCUCGAAGAAAAAACAACCUUCGAUAAACAAAGACUAAAUAAACAAAUUUAAAACUAAAUAUAUAACUAGUUAAAUAAACGAUCCGGAAAUACCGAUCAAAGAAAAAAGUUACCGCAGGGAUAACAGCGUUAUUCUCUUUAAGAGUUCAUAUUGACAAGAGAGUUUGCGACCUCGAUGUUGGACCGGGGCACCCAAGGGGUGCAGCAGCCCCUAAAGGUAGGUCUGUUCGACCUUUAAAGCCCUACGCGAUCUGAGUUCAGACCGACGCAAGU